rnacentral:ncRNA from 1 species
AGUGGUAGAGGCGCGGUUAUCAAGAGUACCGUGCGGCACGGGUUCUCAAACCCGGGGGCUGGCAAGCCGCCGCACGCGAAAGGGGUCGCCGCCGAAGUGCAGUCCGUCCGUUGCCACGGCGGGUGCGCUGGGACGCCGCAGAACAUGCGGCGCACUGUCACGAAAGUGGAGCGCUAUCA